UACGUAGGGUGCGAGCGUUGUCCGGAAUUAUUGGGCGUAAAGGGCUCGUAGGCGGUCUGUCGCGUCGGUAGUGAAAACUCAGGGCUUAACCCUGAGCCUGCUUCCGAUACGGGUGGACUAGAGGUAGGUAGGGGAGAUCGGAAUUCCUGGUGUAGCGGUGAAAUGCGCAGAUAUCAGGAGGAACACCGGUGGCGAAGGCGGAUCUCUGGGCCUUACCUGACGCUGAGGAGCGAAAGCAUGGGGAGCAAACAGG
rnacentral:rRNA from 1 species